AUGGAGUCAAAACUGUGUUGGUCAAACAGCUGAGACACUACGGGACGUCAAUCCUUCUAAUCUGGCAUCACUGCUUCAACUUUUCCGUAUCUUUUUCUGCUUUUUUGUCUUAUCCUGGUUCUCUGAUCCAAGUUUUCACUUGUUCUUCUAGGCAAUCUGAUCUACUGUGUUUCAUUAGUGUUUGCAAAGGCAUCCAUCGCUUUUCUUCUAAGCCUGGGCACUUUCCUAAAUUAUGCUUCACAAUUCAAAGGUUCUGAUGAGAUCUAUGGUUGUGGCUGAGGAAUCCUUUAAUUUGGACGCUGGUGGAAAGGACUUUAUUGGUCCUUGUGCCCGUUCAAUCACACUUCCACAUGAUGUUUUAAAAAUGGUUGCUUCUGAUGGGGAAUUAUGUAGCUCUGUCUUCUAUUUUCUGCAACUUCUUACAAGGCUACUGCUCUUUAUUUUUCACCCUGACCCCGUAUGAUGUUAUACUUGCUGAUGGGAAUGAAUUUAACCACUCAGAGGCUGGAACAUUGCAAAACAAAUGUGUGAGAUAUUAUUUGGUCUUCUUCAAUGCAAUAUGGGGCUCUACCAGAGGGAGUAUGUUUCUUUUUGAAUCUUUUUUGUUCUUGCUUGCAAAAACUGUGACACAUUCUUUUCCCUACUUACGAGUAUUAUUUGAUAAUACUUUGAAAUCGAAGCUGAUUCUACUUAACCCUCUGCUAUAUGGAUUUCUUGAAAGCAUGAUAUCCAGUCAUAUCAAGGACUCUUUGGUUUUCUAUCCUACUUAUUGUUAUAAGUGGCACAUGAUUAAUCUCCAAUUUAUAAUGAAGGAUGGAUAUGAUCAUAUGUUCUUUUUUCAGCUAAUUACAAUCAGGGAGUUUCAGCAUGAUUUUUUACAGUCGUUGGAUAUUGAUGGUUGCCUAAUUUCAAUGGAUGUGAAUCACAAACAGUUCUUUUCUCAAGAUGGUUGCCACUUGUUAAUCUUGUAUGAUGUUCUAAUGUUGGAAGGUACUGAUGGAAUCCAGGAUUCUAAAGCAGCUCUUAAAUGGAAGUUGCUGGGAAGGAUCUUAUAUUUUCUUGGCCCCAGUCAUUCUCAUUCCCAGAUGAUGUUUCAAAAAUCAUGGUUUCUGAUGGGAAUUACGGUAACUGGUUCUUCAUUUUAAGUACCAUUUUACAACGUCUUUACUCCCUUUCAUCAAUUAAUAUCCCAUAUGUUGUACCACCUACUGAUGGGAAUGAGUUUAUUCAAGAUUUGUUAAUUGCUUUGGACAGAGAUAUUUUUCAAGGUUGUUUUAUUUCUGUGUCUGCUAUGUGCAAUCUCAAAUAUGUAAGCUUCGUAUUGUUAGAAGGUGGGCUGCCUUUCCCUCUCUAUUUGGCAUUUUACCAUAUUAUGGUCUUCACCCGUGUUGCUGUAAUUAGUUGGUCUGUCUAUGUUUUUGGGUCAGGAUGUAACUGUUUAGUUUUUAAAUGUUCAAAGACUUUAUAGAA